GGCUCAGGAUGAACGCUGGCGGUAUGCUUAACACAUGCAAGUCGAACGGUCUCUUCGGAGAUAGUGGCGGACGGGUGAGUAACGCGUGAGAAUCUAGCUUCAGGUCGGGGACAACCACUGGAAACGGUGGCUAAUACCGGAUGUGCCGAAAGGUAAAAGGCUUGCUGCCUGAAGAUGAGCUCGCGUCUGAUUAGCUAGUAGGUGUGGUAAGAGCGCACCUAGGCGACGAUCAGUAGCUGGUCUGAGAGGAUGAUCAGCCACACUGGGACUGAGACACGGCCCAGACUCCUACGGGAGGCAGCAGUGGGGAAUUUUCCGCAAUGGGCGAAAGCCUGACGGAGCAAUACCGCGUGAGGGAGGAAGGCUCUUGGGUUGUAAACCUCUUUUCUCAAGGAAGAAAAAAAUGACGGUACUUGAGGAAUCAGCAUCGGCUAACUCCGUGCCAGCAGCCGCGGUAAUACGGAGGAUGCAAGCGUUAUCCGGAAUGAUUGGGCGUAAAGCGUCCGCAGGUGGCUAUGUAAGUCUGCUGUUAAAGAGCAAGGCUCAACCUUGUAAAAGCAGUGGAAACUACAUGGCUAGAGUGCGUUCGGGGCAGAGGGAAUUCCUGGUGUAGCGGUGAAAUGCGUAGAGAUCAGGAAGAACACCGGUGGCGAAAGCGCUCUGCUAGGCCGCAACUGACACUGAGGGACGAAAGCUAGGGGAGCGAAUGGGAUUAGAUACCCCAGUAGUCCUAGCCGUAAACGAUGGAUACUAGGCGUGGCUUGUAUCGACCCGAGCCGUGCCGG
rnacentral:rRNA from 1 species